UGCUCAGCAACUCCUAUCCCUACCUAUUUGCGGUACUGGCCGGGGUGCGAACAUCCUUAGGGAAGAUCGUGUAACCAGACAGGAAAGG
rnacentral:ribozyme from 1 species